UGCCAGCCGCCGCGGUAAUACGGAGGGGGCUAGCGUUGUUCGGAAUCACUGGGCGUAAAGCGUGCGUAGGCGGUUUGGCAAGUUGGAAGUGAAAUCCCGGAGCUCAACUCCGGAACUGCUUCCAAAACUGCUGGACUAGAGAAUGGUAGAGGAUAGUGGAAUUCCUAAUGUAGAGGUGAAAUUCGUAGAUAUUAGGAGGAACACCAGAGGCGAAGGCGACUAUCUGGGCCAUUUCUGACGCUAAGGCACGAAAGCGUGGGGAGCAAACAGGAUUAGAUA
rnacentral:rRNA from 1 species